GCUUUUGGGGAUCAUGGUGUAGAUU
rnacentral:piRNA from 1 species